rfam:Kluyvera intermedia strain CAV1151, complete genome.
CCGUUAUAACUGUAAAUUAAAGGCGUGGUGAAUCCCCCUGUGCGGCGGGGCAUUACUGGCGGUCUUUGAGUUUAUAUAUGCAUGCGGAACGUUGCAGCCAGUCAGCGUUUUACCGGGAGGCACCCGGCACCACGUAUAACAAUUAUCGAUUUUGCUAAUAUUCCUUCAACCUGUGCUUCCCCGUGCAGGUUUUUUUUGUGG